rnacentral:rRNA from 1 species
AGCGAACGCUGGCGGCAGGCCUAACACAUGCAAGUCGAACGGACCCUUCGGGGUUAGUGGCGGACGGGUGAGUAACACGUGGGAACGUGCCUUUAGGUUCGGAAUAGCUCCUGGAAACGGGUGGUAAUGCCGAAUGUGCCCUUCGGGGGAAAGAUUUAUCGCCUUUAGAGCGGCCCGCGUCUGAUUAGCUAGUUGGUGAGGUAAUGGCUCACCAAGGCGACGAUCAGUAGCUGGUCUGAGAGGAUGACCAGCCACAUUGGGACUGAGACACGGCCCAAACUCCUACGGGAGGCAGCAGUGGGGAAUCUUGCGCAAUGGGCGGAAGCCUGACGCAGCCAUGCCGCGUGGAUGAUGAAGGUCUUAGGAUUGUAAAAUCCUUUCACCGGUGAAGAUAAUGACUGUAGCCGGAGAAGAAGCCCCGGCUAACUUCGUGCCAGCCGCCGCGGUAA